AUUGAAUUAGUGCAUUGUUGCAAUGGUCGGCAUUGAAGACUUGAAUUUCACAAUAUUGAUCAACUUCGGCACCGGUUCUGAGGGUUUUUUUGUUGAUCCUAUAUAGCGUCAGGUGGUUUGGUACUCUAGUAGAUCAGCUGUGAAGUGGUGAUCCUCCAUCCAUCGGAAGGCCGGGUCAUUUCAUUUACUUUCGUUUAUCAUUCUAGUAUUUAUGAAUUUCUUUUGUUGUAGUCGAAGACAUAUCUCUACUUAGUUGGUAUUUUUGGAUUAGAGACUUUUGUGGACAGUAUUGGAAUGUUAUGAGUGUUCUGUUUUGACUUUUAGACUUUCUUUUUGACU